AACCUAGCACACCUGCGGUGUGUACCUGCGGAAGGAUCAUUACCGAGUUUACAACUCCCAAACCCCUGUGAACAUACCUAUACGUUGCCUCGGCGGAUCAGCCCGCGCCCCGUAAAACGGGACGGCCCGCCCGAGGACCCCUAAACUCUGUUUUUAGUGGAACUUCUGAGUAAAACAAACAAAUAAAUCAAAACUUUCAGCAAUGGAUCU
rnacentral:misc_RNA from 1 species